AUCUAACAGGACAGCUAGGAAGACUGUCGGGCAAGGCUGAGGACUCAGCUGGGGUUAAAGACAUUGAUUUAUAAGGGAAUCCACAAAGUUGAAUCAUUAUUUUAAGAAGUGUACAGUAGACUUAUUAUAAGAGCAAAAAUCAUUAUGGUGGGUUGAUCAGAAUCAGGGUCCUAGGGUGAGAGGCUGAUGGAUGGCUAAGAGAAGACCAGGAGAUGGUUGAUGUGAUAGUUUAAGGCAUCAAGGCUGUUUUGGAAGGAAAUGAAGCCAAAGCUGCACUGACUGGGAGAAAGGGAAGAGCAAAGGAACUGAAAGUCAGAGAACUGGUUACCGAAAGAAAGGAGUGAGUGAGCUGGAAGAUUGGUGUCCUGUCUUAAGACAGCAGAGCUUGGCAGGGAGUUGGAAUAUUCUCCUUCAACAUUUACAGAUUCACUUAACCAGGAAUGUCCCUUUUCUGACAACCACGGAUUGCUGACUAUCAUCCCAAGA
ensembl:lincRNA